rnacentral:rRNA from 1 species
GAUGAACGCUGGCGGCGUGCCUAAUACAUGCAAGUCGAGCGAACAGACGAGGAGCUUGCUCCUCUGACGUUAGCGGCGGACGGGUGAGUAACACGUGGAUAACCUACCUAUAAGACUGGGAUAACUUCGGGAAACCGGAGCUAAUACCGGAUAAUAUAUUGAACCGCAUGGUUCAAUAGCGAAAGACGGUUUUGCUGUCACUUAUAGAUGGAUCCGCGCCGCAUUAGCUAGUUGGUAAGGUAACGGCUUACCAAGGCAACGAUGCGUAGCCGACCUGAGAGGGGGAUCGGCCACACUGGAGCUGAGACACGGUCCAGACUCCUACGGGAGGCAGCAGUAGGGAAUCGUCCGCAAUGGGCGAAAGCCUGACGGAGCAACGCCGCGUGAGUGAUGAAGGUCUUCGGAUCGUAAAACUCUGUUAUUAGGGAAGAACAAAUGUGUAAGUAACUAUGCACGUCUUGACGGUACCUAAUCAGAAAGCCACGGCUAACUACGU